AGUAUAGGUAUAAGGAUGCGCUGC
rnacentral:siRNA from 1 species